GUCCUCUUGUUUAUAUAUGAGGUCUGACCUGCCCGGUGAAAGUUAUUUUAACGGCCGCAGUAUUUUGACUGUGCAAAGGUAGCAUAAUCAUUAGUCUUUUAAUAGGGGGCUGGUAUGAAGGGUUUGACGAGGUGUUAACUGUCUCAUUUAAUUUGUAUUUAGAAUUUAACUUUUCAGUUAAAAGGCUGAAAUUGUAUUGGAAGACGAGAAGACCCUAUAGAGCUUUAUAAUUAGUAUUUUAAUUGUUUUUUGUGAUAUAAAUUAUGAUUAUAAUUUUAAUUAUUUUGUUGGGGUGACAAAAAUAUAUAUUUAACUUUUUUAUUUAAUUGACAUUGAUUUAUGAAUAUUAGAUCCAGUCUUAUUGAUUGUUAGAUUAAGUUACC
rnacentral:rRNA from 1 species